GUAGUUCCCGCCCAGUCAGAGGAAUUUAGCAUAUCUUGCAAGUAAAAGGUCCCUAAUGCGUUAUGUGAGCCACCUCCCUUCCAGUACAUUCCCAUUACAUACUCCCCUACAUCCCUUUGACUAGGGUGUUCUAUAUUUAAGGUGAGUUUAAUGGGAGUUGACCCUAUGGGUUUACUCAGGGUCAUUCUAGAGAGCAAGGGUUUCCCG